CGGGCCUAAGACAUGAAAUCCACUGCAGAUCAUCCAAUGUGUUCAGAUAUCAAUGUAAUUGAAUCAACACACUUUCCGACAAUUUCUUUUCAUUGUUAUGGUAUAUGUUCUUUUUCUAAUUAUAAGAGAGGCUGAGGGGAAAACACGUAGCAAGUAAAAAGGAAAAGGAAAGGAAGUUACUGUGGAAUGGAUAAAAAGGGCACAUCAUGCACAUACAGCAACUGCAGCAAGAUUAUCACGCCUUGUCUGAAUAAACAUCUGUCGGAAUUGCUCAAAUCUGCCAUCCUUGAUUGCUUCUCUUAUUGACUGGAAGAACCCGAGGUAAUGGUGAGUAUUAUGUAUUUCUAAUAGAAUCUGAGCCAACAUCUCGUGGACAUUGAGU
rnacentral:misc_RNA from 1 species